rnacentral:lncRNA from 1 species
GCCUGUUGUGGUUCCUCACAGGACCAGUCUAUGAGGACCCCUACUUCGGGUUCCUGCGGCCGCCUCAGGGGGAGACGGCUAGCCUCCUCGGAUGCAGCCUCUACUCGGCUGCUGUAACACUCCUUCCGCUGAGCAUACUCUUUCGCCAGCCGGAAUUCUCGGGCCAGCCUUGUGUUUCGCUCGGCCGUGACCUGGUUCCAGAUCACCCGGCGUACCUCCAUGGGUAAAUCAUCUCCAUACUGGGCCACUCGCUGCCUCACCUCGGCCAUCCAAUCAUCGCCAGAGCCUUCCAUACUUGUCUGCUCCAAGUCGCUGGAUACCUCUGCUCCCAGG